GACUGGAGUGCAGACUUGUGCUCUUCCGGUUCACCCCUUCUUAGGCAACCAGGUGGUCCCCCGCUCCGGGGAGGUCACUAUAUUGAUGCUGAACUUAGUGCGGACACCCAAUCCGCACAGCGCACUACAGCCCAGAACUCCUGGGCUCAAGGGAUCCUCCAACCUCAGCCUCCCGA